CGUGAGAUCAUGUCCUGAGCUGAAGUCGGAUGCCCAACUGACGGAGCCACCCAGGGCCAAAGAAGAAAACAGAUGAGCUUUCUCUCUUAACUACUGGCUGUACUGACAGAUGAAGUUUUUCUGGUCCACCCUUCUGCUGAGAUUACAGCUAUUUGACAAUCCAGCUCCAAACAGGGGUUUUGGCUCACCAGUCUUCAUCUUGCCCUGGGCCUCAACACCUAUCCCCACAUGAACACUGAAAUCCAAGUCCCUUGGUCAUUUGAACCAACAACUACCUCCUGUCAGUCACAUCCUGCGGUGUUAGCUCACAUGGCAGUUUUCAGUUCUGUCUUCUAUGUGGCCCACUGGGAUUUCUAGUUUCUUGUGAGCUCAACUAUGACUUUUUUAAAUGAGUUUUUAAGACCUAUGUUUCAAAAAGGCAAUGGAUCUAGGAUUUUAUUGAGGGAGGUUUGUGUUAUUUUAGCUUGCCAUCUUGCCCCUCCCCAUCAUUGUUUUUAAUAAAGUUCUGCCAACAGGUCACUGUUACGGGAACAAUAUGAGCUUUAGGCUCAGUAUGUCUAGCAGCCUACACUUACGGGAGAUUUAGUAAGGAGGAAAAUUCUCGUUACGUUGAAGGUAUACUUUUGAGCUUGUUCAGUAGGGCUUAUUGUUUUUUACGUCGUCACUAACAUACAGGCGGAAACAGGGGGUUGAAUUAUUGUGUUAGGACUAAUUACUUGAUGUGUGAAUGAUUAGUUAUUUUGUCUUCAUUCCUCUCUAUUUGUUAGCGUCUCUACUGUUGGCUGGACCAUGGAAAAUGUGUAACAAUCCUUAACAUUUAAAUUUGUUUUAAAUUUUAUCUUGACUCCAAUGUAGUUGACAUACAGCAUUAUAUUAGUUUCAGGCCAAUCAUUAAGAUCUUUGAUGGGACUAUAAUUGGAAAGAUACAGGAAUGGUGGGCUACAACAGGGUCUGAAUCUUCACCAUCUCUGCUCUUGUCCUCUUAUUCUACAUAGAUGUGAAUCUGAUCACUGAACCUGAACCCCGCUACUGGACUAUACUGUUACUAUGCGAAUGUUCAACUCUGCUCUAUAGAACUAUACAGCUCUCCAGAGAGUCCUCUUUAAGGACUCUUUAUAUCCUGUAGGAAAUAAUCUAUCUGUUUAUUUAUUCAACAGAUAUUCACUGAAUGCUGGCCAGAUGUCUGGCACUGGGUUGAGUGUGGUCAUUGGGGAGAUAGAACCACCAAGUUUCUGGCCCUCACUCUUUCAACCAGAGCAGCCCUGUUGGUUUCUGUUUUCUAGUUGGCAUUCUGGGUAAGGGGGUUCUGCUGUGUAAAGAAAGUUUGAAAUCCUCUCUCUGUGACAUAGCGCCCUUAUUUUAAAAGAAGUUUCUAUUAAGCAAAGCUAUUUGGGGACCAUGGCUUAAUAGCUGUAUGUAUAAAUAAAUUGUACACCCAGCACAAUGAUGAA